rnacentral:lncRNA from 1 species
AGGAGCCUGCCCUCUUGAGCUCUUGUGGUGACCUGGGAAUCAAUGUGUGAGGUGGUGCUAUGUAGCAGGAACCCCUCUUGCUUUGCAAAUAGUUUUUUGUUUGUUUUCCUUUUUGCCCAAUAGAGCCCUGCUCUACUGACCCUUCAAUGUGCCCGUGUGCCUAAAUAUUCCUGGUCGUGUGAAAAGAACCCAGGUAUUAGCUGAACUAAGGAGCACAAUUCUGCAACAUUUUGGCACCCAAACACGGGGCUUGAGAAAUGAAUGCAAUUGGAGAAACUGGUUGUUUUACCAGGCGUUGAUUGGAAAUGUGUGCUUCCCUUUAAGCAGUCAAGCUCAACUUGCAGAACUGAUGGGAACCCCUUGGGAAAACUGGCCUCAAAUGUUUGUCUACACAGUCCACAUACAGGGUUCUUAACCUGCGAUGAGGGAAACUUCCCAGGGCUUGUCUGGGUAUGCCCACAGUGGACUGGAGCCCAAAAUGCACACUGGAGGAAGUGGAUGGAGCCACGUGGAUGUCAUGCCUUAUGCAGGGGAGGAGCCUGCUCUCUUCAGCUCCUGUGGUAAUGUGGGAAUCGAUCUGUGAGCAUAUUUAACUAUCCGGCUAUUUUGGAGAUUGAAAAAAGAAGACCUGAUUUAUCAUGUGCAAUAUCUCACACAUCUGUCAUUUCUAUUCUACCGCAAUUCGAUGGAGUCUUGUUCUGUGGUCCAGGCUAGAGGGCAGUGGCAUGAUCUCGGCUCACUACAAGCUCUGCCUCCCGGGUUCACGCCAUUCUCCUGCCUCAGCCUCCUGAGUAGCUGGGACUACAGGCGCCCGCCACCACGCCUGGCUAAUUUUUUGUAUAUUUACUAGAGAUGGCUAGUGUUAGCCAAGAUGGUCUCGAUCUCCUGACCUCGUGAUCUGCCCACCUCAGCCUGCCAAAGUGCUGGGAUUACUGGCGUGAGCCACCGUGCCUGGCCAGCAUCCUCUAAUUAUUAUUCAUAGUUUGUGAAUUUAGGCCUACGUGAAUAAUAAUAUAAUAUUUACUAUGAUGUUACUAUCUACCAACCUUAUUUUUCUUUUCUAUAAAAUAGGAGCCAAAAUAAUAUUUAUGUCAUACCUUAUGAAGUUAAAAUAAAAUAUAACGAAUGAGGGGCUUAACAAUGAGUGUCAUUUUGUAAUUACUUUGUACCAUUAUUAAUUGCUGAGACAGAAUAUGGUAUCACUAGUCAUCUGUAUCUAUUGCACAACUUUAUUUUGAUUCAUUCCUUACUAUUUUGCAUAGAUAGGCCUAAAUUUUUGAUCCACUGCUCAACUCCUGUCUUUAAACCAUUGGUUCUCAAAUAGAGUUGAUUUUGACACCUAGGGAACAUUUGACAACAUAUGGAGAUAUUGUUGAUUUUACAGGGCAACCCUUCAUAAGCACAGAAUUAUCUGGCCCCAAAUGUCGACAGUGUCAAGUUCGAGAAACUCUGCACUAGGCUUUUCUGUCUGGUUACUCACCCCUCUUCUUUGCACUGCCCCCAGUUUUAUGGAUAUUGAAUUCCUGAUUUCUCACUAUAUUAAUUGCACUUAUAGAUAUUCUAAAUUGAUUUGUAUAUAUCUUCCUAGUUUGACCCAUUGCUUUUAACUGAAUUUUACUGGGCUUUUAUAAAGGCCAUUUCCAUGGAGUUUAGUCAUUAUCUUCACCAAAUUUUUAUUUGCUUCAGUCUGGGGAGGAACUCUAUAUUAAAAAAUAAAAACAAACCCAAAAACUAAUUUAUGAAAGACAUUUUAUAAUGUAAUUACUUAAACAUUUUUUUUCUUCUUUCUCAUACGAUCUUUUAAAUUCAGUGAGUGACAUGUGGUUUUCAGGCUGGGUCAGGAAGUUUGCUUGGACGGGGAAAUUCUGUCUGCUGAGACACUAGGGGAGCAAAUGCCUAUGUGGGCACAGGCUGGUCACUGACCUCCUAGGGUUCCCUGACAAUAAAUUAGUCCUAGUUGAGGUCGCCAUCAUCAGAACUUAAUUGGUCCCUGGUACUGGUGAAUCUCUGCACCACAGAGACUAAUCAGUUACAGAACUCAGCUUCUGGGCAUAGGCAACCUUUUCUGUUUUUUCAAUUUUUUGUCAGCAAAGUUGAGAAAAUGAACACACUCAAACAGCCCAUUUCUUAGCUUAUCAAUAUCCGUACCCACUUCUUUCCCUCAUCAACAUGUAUUUUCCAUAUUUUGUUGGUAUUAACCUCUGACACUCAUCCACACAAGAAAGUCUACAAAGCCUAAACUAACUUUUAAACAUUAUUUAAGGUAAUAGCUUUGUCUUCCACCAGAAACCUGGCGACAUUUUUAAAAGGAUUUGAAGAGAUAUAUACCCGAGGGACAGAGAGAAAAAUUAGUGCUGACCAGUCUGGGCCUACUUGACUAACACAAAAUAGAUUAAAUUAAUAAAAACAAGAUGUUCUGCAUUUAUAAACAUGUUAACUCUUUUUAAUGUGUAUGACUCAUUAAUGAGUUCAUAAUUAGAUUUUGAAGGAUUUCAUUCUGGACCUUGCAGAUUGUAUGUAUCUUUCUGGUAAAUUAGGAAGUAUAAUUUUUCAAUAAAAAAGCUCACUGGAAACCCCUGUAACAAGUAAUAAAUAUUUAAAAUUUGCAGAAAUGUUUACUUAUUCAAUAAAUACUGACUCCACAUUAAGAAAUGCUAGAGAUAAAGCAUUUCUAAAGGCAAAUUCUACUGUUUCCUGGUUUUACAUUCUAGAUUUUAAGACAAAGAUGGCUGCCUUGAAAUUUUAGUUAUGUGAAAGAAAUUUCGUAAUGAUAUAACUUUUUCUUACUCUGACUCUGUGAGACUUUUGUUUAUAUUUUAUGAAACUAUUUCUAUAGCACAUGUUAUAUAAAUAUAUUUGAGAAAUCAUUUUUAGCUUUCAGAAAUUAGUUUGCUUAAUACAUUUUAAUUUUAAUAAAGCUCCAUUCCUCUAGUCCUUUCAUAUCUGGAAUAUAUUUCCUAUACAAUAUCUUCUAUAUUAUUUAAUACUGCUGUUUUUUAAAAGAGAAAUUGAAACCUUUUACUCAUAUAUACCAGACUUCCAAAACUGUCUUGGUUUGAAAAUCAGUUCUCCAAAAUACUUUCUCUAACUUAACUUUAUAUCUUAGGUGCAAAUACAAUCCUGAUAAAUACUAUAGUCAGGCAUUUUAAAAACUUUAUGUUUCCCAUAUACUCAGCAGAGUAUCAUCUUCUUGCCCUUUCCCUCACUAUGGUAUCCUUCAAGAACUUAUUAGCUCAAAUUCCAAAUCCUCAAUGAAACAAUCAUCUAUCAAUUUCAUAAUUCACUGUUUUAUUCAAUAAAUAUUUAGUGAAUGAUUUCUGUGUGUCAGGAGUGUAUUGGGAGCUUGGGGACAAAGUGGUGGGCUAGAUAGGCAU